rnacentral:piRNA from 1 species
AACCAAAUUAUACUCUUUUGAUUUCCAGAC